rnacentral:rRNA from 1 species
CGCCUGUUUAUCAAAAACAUCGCCUCUUGCGUUAAAUAUAAGAGGUCCAGCCUGCCCAGUGACUUUGUUCAACGGCCGCGGUAUCCUAACCGUGCGAAGGUAGCGUAAUCACUUGUUCUUUAAAUAAGGACUAGUAUGAACGGCAUCACGAGGAUUAUCCUGUCUCCUUUACCUAAUUAGUGAAACUAAUCUCCCCGUGAAGAAGCGAGGGUGAUAUUAUAAGACGAGAAGACCCUAUGGAGCUUUAGAUUUAACGACACUUGUCCACAUUAAACUAAAUUUCAGAACUCUAUACUCACCUGACAAGAUGAUCGUCAAUCUUAGGUUGGGGUGACCACGGAGCACAAAACAACCUCCUUGCUGAACGACAUUCAAUGUCUUAUUCUCGAGCAACCACUCUAAAAAACAAUAUAUCGACACUCAUUGACCCAAUUUUUGAUCAACGAACCAAGUUACCCUAGGGAUAACAGCGCAAUCCACUUCAAGAGCUCCUAUCGACAAGUGGGUUUACGACCUCGAUGUUGGAUCAGGGUACCCCAGUGGUGCAGCCGCUACUAAAGGUUCGUUUG